rnacentral:rRNA from 1 species
AAACAUGGCUCCUUGGUAUCUUAUAAUAAGGAGUCGGACCUGCCCAGUGAAUUUUUUCAACGGCCGCGGUACUCUGACCGUGCAAAGGUAGCAUAAUCAUUUGCCUUAUAAUUGAAGGCUAGUAUGAAUGGUUUGACAUGAAUGUAGCUGUCUCUUUAUAAUUUAAUAGAAUUUUAUCUUCAGGUGAAGAAGCCUGAAUUUAAUUAAAAGACAAGAAGACCCUAUCGAGCUUGAAAAGAAUUGAUGGAAUCAAAAAUUAAUACAACUAAAAAAUUAUCUAUCACAAAUUUUAGUUGGGGCGACUGAGGAACAUAAAAAGCUUCCUUUAGAAUAUUAGUUUAAGUCAAACUAGAAUUGAUCCAGAAUAUUUUGAUUAAAGGAAUUAGUUACCGUAGGGAUAACAGCAUUAUCUUUUUUAAGAGCUCAUAUCGAAAAAAAGGUUUGUGACCUCGAUGUUGGACCAGAAUAUCCUAAAGGUGUAGCAGCCUUUAAGGGUUGGUCUGUUCGACCAUUAAAAUUCUACGUGA